rnacentral:rRNA from 1 species
UACGUAGGGUGCGAGCGUUGUCCGGAAUUACUGGGCGUAAAGAGCUCGUAGGUGGUUUGUCGCGUUGUCCGUGAAAACUCACAACUCAAUUGUGGGCGUGCGGGCGAUACGAGCAGACUGGAGUACUGCAGGGGAGACUGGAAUUCCUGGUGUAGCGGUGGAAUGCGCAGAUAUCAGGAGGAACACCGGUGGCGAAGGCGGGUCUCUGGGCAGUAACUGACGCUGAGGAGCGAAAGCGUGGGGAGCGAACAGG